rnacentral:rRNA from 1 species
CCGCGGUAUUUUGACCGUGCUAUGGUAGCAUAAUCAUUAGUUUUUUAAUUGAAAGCUGGAAUGAAGGGCUGAAUGAAAAAAAAACUGUCUCUAAUUAAUUAUUUUAGAAUUUUAUUUUUAAGUUAAAAAGCUUAAAUUUUAUUAAAAGACGAGAAGACCCUAUAGAGUUUAAUAAUUUUAUACUAUAAAAAAUUUGGAAUUAAUAUUUUUAUUUUUAUAUAAUUAUUUGAUUGGGGUGAUUAAAAAAUUUAAUAAACUUUUUUAUUUAUUUAUAUUAAUUAAUAAAUAAUUUGAUCCAAAAAUUUUGAUUAUAAGAUAAAAUUACCUUAGGGAUAACAGCGUAAUUUUAUUUGAGAGUU